AUGCAGAGAGGUUAUCUGUUGAGGGUGGCAGUGGGGGAAGCCAUUGUUUUGAGUUUGGGGAGCGUGGGGGGUCUGAUUCUGAACUCCCAGUCCCCAAACUGCAGCACCAUAAGAGAUGGAUGUGGCAGGCCAAGCAGUCACAGAAGGAAAGUCAUUCCAGAGGUCAUUCCAGAUCAGGGAGUUGCCUGGUUCUGUAGCACUUGGAUCACCUCAAACACGUUGAAAGAGAAAUGGCCACCAUCUUGGGUCUAGUCCUCACAAUGGACACAUCCCUUAAGCACCUUCCAAGAUGGCUGCCCACCAAUGUCUCUCAGCACCCGGUUUCAUAACACGUCCCCCUCAGCGAUGAAGGGAGAGCACUGCUGCUCUUUUUAACGGUCCAUAACAGGCUAAGAAACUUGAGGGAACCUCACUAAAAAAAAAGAGCGAUCGUUGAUUGAAGAGCUAGAACGUCAAGUUUCCCGCCGAUGGCUUUUUCUUCAGAACUAGGAGCAAAGUUGAGCACCUAUCUACUCUGGGGUAAAAAAAAAAGUAUUCGUCAAGCGUACACUGUAGAAGACAGGAGAUAAAAAGAGACUCGUGUGGCUCCGUGGAAGCGAAGAUCCAAUGUAAAUAAAAGAGAGAAACUGUGAGAUUUAAGGCCGGUCAAAUUAGCGUGUUUGGAGGUGUCCUUUCCUCACAAGGAAGCUAAGGGGA
rnacentral:lncRNA from 1 species